CUUUCCCCGAAGGAGAUAACCUCAUACCUGAGCUCAAGCUACCCCGUGUUUCCAAAAUGGUUGGCGGUUUCAUUCGUAUACGGGGAACAGCUGACCGUAGGGAUCGAUAAGUCUGUUCUCUGACGCAAUGAGAAUGGCACAAAAAGGGACCUUGCUCCCCCAACCACCAUGUGAGUGUGUGUGUGAAAGACAGACACAGAGAGGGAUAGAAAGAGAAGAGGAACUAGGAGGAGAGAAAGCUGGUGCUCAGAAGGCUCUCAGGCCUCAAUAUGUGUGUGUGAACGAGAUGCUAUUGUGAAACCAGAGCGUGUCAUUGCACGGAUAAUUGUGAUUAAUACCAAGUCAUAACCAUCAUGUUCAAGCAUAAAGGCGCUAAAGACGACAACAAUCAAGGCUCCUGGAUGAGGUGGCAGUUCUUCCGCAAAAAGCGGAAACCGACCACCCCACCAAAGGCCGCGGCACUUCCGGUUCAGAAACCAAUUGACGAUCUGGUGUACCAAUCUCCCAAGCUCAAGAAGAACAUUCAAAAUGAGGUGACGAAACAAUUGCUGAAGGACAAUGAUGUUGACCUGACAUUACAAGUGCCAAUCGAGCCCAAAAAGGUGGUGAUACGGAGUCAAGCCAUCUUGGCACCCCGACCCGUGUCGCAAUCAGUUACUGCUCCCACAUCCAGGGUCCAAGCCUCCUCAUGGAACGCCAAUGGAUCUGGGAGCUCUCCAAUGUGUCGAUCGCGAUCCGAUUAUCACGCUCAAUCAGGGCGGUCCCCGGGAUCAGCUUUAGUCCAUUACCAAUUGGACAGCCUUUUAAAGGCCAGAGACAAUCCCAGUGUGGUCUGUGCUGGACUAGUCAAAUCUCGAGCUCAGAAGUUUGAAGCCAAGAUUGCGGAGAAUGAACAGAUGCGUGAAAGCAUGAAGUUCCAACCUAAGCGAGAGGUGCCAGAGAAGAAUCCUGUGGUACCCCCACAUCAGGGAUUAAAACCUUCGGUGAUGACGCACUCGAAUAUCUCGUCCAUGUCGACGACCUCAGAGCGAUCCACAGGCAUUCUUGGACUCCUGGGAUCGACCUCUAGAAGCUCCUUUCCGCCAACGUCCUCAUCGGGGACCUCGAAAGAAAUUUCUCCUCUAGAUGAAUCCAAGGACAGAUCAAGGACGGAACCCGCCCGGGGCCCAUCAUCCACGAUGUCAGCUUGUCCCAGUGAGUCCGAGCACAAUUUCCUGAUCGAUGACGAGUACAAAGAUCAGCCCGAUCUCACGCUUCAUGAGGAACUGGAAUCCGAAUUGUCAGACAUUUCCCUCGAUUUCCAUGAUCUGGGCUACGACCAUUUCAAUCAGGAUCAAGGACAACGGUCUUAUCGACAUGACAACAAGAAACUCAGUCGAGCAUUGUUCUUUGAUAACUUUCAACCCGACUACAAAGACUAUGAACACAGGUCAGAUUUUAUGUCUCGGUUCCGAAAGAACAAAACCGGGAGUGAAUCCGCAGGAUCGAGUGGGUUGCCUAUUGGACCAGCAUCCACAUCUGGACACUCCCAACGCCAAAACAUUCCAUCAUCGUCCUCAAGUGGACGUGGGUUUCAUAUUUGGCGAAGGUCCAAGGAGCGAUCCACAUCUUUGUCAUCCGAGGACUCCACCUCCACGAACGGAGGCGGGUGUCGGUGUCGUGAAGUCAUGAAUCUGAGUCAGGAUAUCAUGUCCAUCAAAACCUACUUGCACAAAUUGAGGCGAAUCCUGCAAGAGGCGGACACCAGCACACCUGGCAUCAAGUCAGAUUUGUUUCGUGGGCACGGUUCGUUUGAUGCCUCGUUUUCAUCCCAAUUGUCGUCCAUCACCGGUGUUCAAAGUCAUGAGGAUGAGAUGAACGAUCUAAAGCGAGAAGUCGCUUAUUUACAACAACAAAAUGUUGAGAAAGAUCGAAUGAUCAAGCAGUUACAAAGGCAUCUGGAUGUCCAAUCGAGUCCAAGGAGGACUCCGAGCCCGGUGAAGAUGAACAAUGCGGCAACCCAAACAGAAAGGCCAUCAAGGGCACUUUCUUGUGGAGUGUCAUUGGGAUCUGAUGCCGCCUCAAUACCUUCCUCUUCUGGUAGCGAAAAGUCAAGGGCACGCAAUUUGGCUUAUUCUUAACUGUCUCACUUUCUUCCCUCUUCCUUCUAUCUUCUCCAGACAGGAGCAUUCCAUCUAAUUAAUCUCUUCUGGUGGUCGGUCGACUAAACUGAGGCGAUCCAAGACGCCAUUGCCCCGACGAGUGAUCAUGUCAUCGGAUGAUGGGACCCUCAGAAUUCCCAUACGUAACCUCAAAGAUACGCAAAUCUAGGUCACAUCAUCCACCCUCUCAAGCACCAAAAUCAAUGCCAAAGAAUAUUAUAAUUCCCUUUAUGAAUAAACACACCACACUUCACAGA